rnacentral:rRNA from 1 species
UGGGGAAUAUUGGACAAUGGGCGCAAGCCUGAUCCAGCCAUGCCGCGUGAGUGAUGAAGGGCCUUAGGGUUGUAAAGCUCUUUCGCCGGUGAAGAUAAUGACGGUAACCGGAGAAGAAGCCCCGGCUAACUUCGUGCCAGCAGCCGCGGUAAUACGAAGGGGGCUAGCGUUGCUCGGAAUCACUGGGCGUAAAGCGCACGUAGGCGGAUCGUUAAGUCAGGGGUGAAAUCCUGGAGCUCAACUCCAGAACUGCCCUUGAUACUGGCGAUCUCGAGUUCGAGAGAGGUUGGUGGAACUCCGAGUUAGAGGUGAAAUUCGUAGAUAUUCGGAAGAACACCAGUGGCGAAGGCGGGCCAACUGGCUCGAUACUGACGCUGAGGUGCGAAAGCGUGGGGAGCAAAGCAGGAUUAGAUACCCUGGUAGUCCACGCCGUAAACGAUGGAUGCUAGCCGUUGGGGGGUUUGACCUC